rnacentral:rRNA from 1 species
GACGAACGCUGGCGGCGUGCUUAACACAUGCAAGUCGAACGGAAAGGCCCUGCUUUUGUGGGGUGCUCGAGUGGCGAACGGGUGAGUAACACGUGAGUAACCUGCCCUUGACUUUGGGAUAACUUCAGGAAACUGGGGCUAAUACCGGAUAGGAGCUCCUGCUGCAUGGUGGGGGUUGGAAAGUUUCGGCGGUUGGGGAUGGACUCGCGGCUUAUCAGCUUGUUGGUGGGGUAGUGGCUUACCAAGGCUUUGACGGGUAGCCGGCCUGAGAGGGUGACCGGCCACAUUGGGACUGAGAUACGGCCCAGACUCCUACGGGAGGCAGCAGUAGGGAAUAUUGCACAAUGGGCGGAAGCCUGAUGCAGCAACGCCGCGUGCGGGAUGACGGCCUUCGGGUUGUAAACCGCUUUCGCCUGUGACGAAGUGUGAGUGACGGUAAUGGGUAAAGAAGCACCGGCUAACUACGUG